rnacentral:rRNA from 1 species
GACGAACGCUGGCGGCGUGCUUAACACAUGCAAGUCGAACGGAAAGGCCCUGCUUUUGUGGGGUGCUCGAGUGGCGAACGGGUGAGUAACACGUGAGUAACCUGCCCUUGACUUUGGGAUAACUUCAGGAAACUGGGGCUAAUACCGGAUAGGAGUUCCUGCUGCAUGGUGGGGGUUGGAAAGUUUCGGCGGUUGGGGCUGGACUCGCGGCUUAUCAGCUUGUUGGUGGGGUAGUGGCUUACCAAGGCUUUGACGGGUAGCCGGCCUGAGAGGGUGACCGGCCACAUUGGGACUGAGAUACGGCGCAGACUCCUACGGGAGGCAGCGGUGGGGAAUAUUGCACAGUGAGCGGAAGCCUAAUGCAGAAACGCCGCGUGCGGGAUGACGGCCUUCGGGUUGUAAACCGCUUUCGCCUGUGACGAAGCGUGAGUGACGGUAAUGGGUAAAGAAGCACCGGCUAACUACGUG